rnacentral:rRNA from 1 species
UACGUAGGGGGCAAGCGUUGUCCGGAUUUAUUGGGCGUAAAGAGCGUGUAGGCGGCUUUGCAGGUCCGCUGUGAAAACUCGAGGCUCAACCUCGAGCUGUCGGUGGAAACCGUAAAGCUAGAGUCCGGAAGAGGAGAGUGGAAUUCCCGGUGUAGCGGUGAAAUGCGCAGAUAUCGGGAAGAACACCCGUGGCUAAGGCGGCUCUCUAGUACGGUACUGACGCUGAGACGCGAAAGCGUGGGGAGCGAACAGG